GACAGAGGGUGCAAACGUUGUUCGGAAUUACUGGGCGUAAAGCGCGUGUAGGCUGCUUGGAAAGUCGGAUGUGAAAGCCCUGGGCUCAACCUAGGAAGUGCAUUCGAAACUUCUGAGCUUGAGUGUCGGAGAGGAAGGCGGAAUCUCGGUGUAGAGGUGAAAUGCGUAGAUAUCGUAAGGAAGACCAGUGGCGAAGGCGGGUCUCUGGACAGUUCCUGACGCUGAGGCACGAAGGCCAGGGGAGCAAACGGG
rnacentral:rRNA from 1 species